CAGAAGCGUUUGCCUUUGGGGGUUGGCCUUUCUGCGUUUCUGUCCCACACCUACUUUGCAGACACGUUUAUGUAUGUUUUUGAGAUGGCUUGCAUCUUUUUAUAGAGCAGCCCUCUGGUUGCUGUGUAUCUGGAGCAGAGAGAAUCCAUCAAAGAGGGAAUUUAUUGUGCCAUCUUAACUGGAAAUCAUGUGGCCUGAGAUUUUAUAGGAAUUAAAGUUAGACAUUUGGUUUUACAUAGUACUAAAAGUGAACCACAAGAAUGCUUUUUUGUUUGAGUUCAGUGGCCCACAACAUACAGUUAUUUAAACUCCUUUAGAGGCUUGCAGGCCCCAAAAGAUGAGAGGGAUUAAGCAGGUGGGAUUUAUUACAAUGCUGUGGUUCUCUACAAGGAUUUCACCUUCUAUUUUUCCUUUUAAAGGUAAUUUUUGUUUUAAAAAAAUUAUGUUUCAAAAUACCUAAUUGCCAAUUCUAACCCAAUAGUGUCUGAAGAUUUCACUGCCUGCAGUUGUGUUUGUGUGGUGCCAAGAAGCACUAUCUUAGAUAUAGGGGGUCUUAGGAAAGAGCAGGGCUGAAAAUGCACAGAAUGUGUCUGAGCUCAGUGGAGACUCCUGGUUCACAGCCGCUCAAGAGGGAGGAGGGCGAUGUCUGCGGUAGCCAGGGACCCCACACAGCCUGCCUGCCCUGCAGAGUGAGUUUCGGUGUAUCAUCGAUCACAUAGACUCGAUUUUGUCAAUUUCAAUUUUUUAUUUUAUUUUGUAGAUUGCUGUUAAGUUUUGUUAAUUUGAUACAUUGCUACCAGUUUGCAGUCUCUAAAAUUUGUACGGUUUUUAUUUUGUAGCUGUAUAAUGGUUACGAGCAUAGAGUUUUACUGUUUUAUAUUUGUUAAUUUUUAACUUAUAGAGGGGCUGGGAUUGUGGCUCAGCCGUAGAGCACUCGCCUAGCAUGGGUAGGACCUGGGUUUGAUCCUUAGCACCACAUAAAAAUAAAGGCAUUGUGUUGUGUCCGUCUACACCUAAAAAAUACAUAUUAAAAAUAGAUUUAACUUAUAGAAUAAAAGUGCCUGAAGUGGUGUUAGACUGUGCUGGGAGUGCGUGAGGUUUUAUUUCAGCGUUGGGAAGCACACAUCAGAUGGUCCUGUGCAGUGCAGGGAGCGUCCUGUUUGAUGGGGGUGUUUCUGCCUGGCUCUCCCUGCUCAUGUACUGUGCCCCUGCUGAGGUCAGCACCUAGACUUCUGUCUGUGCAUCUGGCACUUCCAGGAUGCACUGGUGUCCCUUCUCCAGGCUCUCUGCAGCACCUGGUGUUUCUUUCCUCCAGUGCCUCCGCACGCCUCUAAUCCCAGCGUCUUGGGAAGUUGAGGCAGGAAGAUCACCAGAAGCUUGAGACUAACCUGAGCAACUUAGCAAGACCUUGUCUCAAAAUAAGAACAAAGAAAGAACAAAUCCCCGCACAUGGGUGUGGCUCUGGGCUCCAUCCUGUUCCCAGGGGUGGGACCACAAACCCAGGGUGCCUUGACAGAUUUUCUUUACAAUAAUGAAGCAAAGUGACAUCCCCUUCAGUGAGUCAGACACCCUGCUGUCAGCUCCCUGCACAGGAGGAAGGACUGUCAUGGAGGCUGAGUGUAGUUGAACAUAAUGUCUUCACUUUACAUUCGAUAAGGUUUUAGGGUGUGUCAGUGUUUUCUUACAAGGCUGUUGUGGCCCUAGUUGAUGGUAUUGAUGGGGAGGUAGGCAUUUGAUUUGUUCCCUUUUCCUUCUUCCUUGAACAUGUUUUUAGCAUUUUAGCCACAGAUCUCAUUUGGUGCUUAUUUCAUGAGAGAAAGGUCUUUAGUUGUGCCUAAGAAAAAUGGAAAAAAAAUAGUGCUCUUUGUGAGGAAGUUCCUUGGAGAAGGUGGUGUCCUUCUGUGGCCUGUGUAGGCCUGCUGUGCAGACUUCUGGCAUAGAGGUCUCAGACCACAAGGAACUCACUUGAGCUCUAACGCCAUAUGCAGCCAUUUUCUAUGAGCUUUGUUUUAAAUGUUGACAGUCUGCAAGCUGCAUGGGCUUCUGUCAGCAGGAAGUCAGCCUGAGUCUUGUCCAUCUGUAUCUGUCUUCCACAACAGCCUUGGUGGAUUUGUUUAAUUAUUAUUUUUUUCACAUUUUUGUUCAGUGCACAUUUAACAAGCUCCUACUAUGUGCCAGGUGCUGUGUUUGUGUGCAUGGUUUUAAAAAUGUGCUCAGAGAACUAAGUUCCAGGGAGACAUGUCAGGUAGCAUGUGUGUGACUACAAGUAGCAGGAAGCCGAUGACAGGUGGCUGCCCAGGAGGGACCCACAGCUGGAGUCAUCUCCUAAACUGCCUCAUGAGGACACAGGGCCAUCUCCCUGUGUGCCAUUCACAGGACGCUGGCCAGUCCUCUCAGGCUUCCUUAC
rnacentral:lncRNA from 1 species